rnacentral:rRNA from 1 species
GGAUAACCUACCCUUAGGACUGGGAUAACCCUGGGAAACUGGGGAUAAUACUGGAUAGGCAAUUAUUCCUGUAAUGGUUUUUUGUUUAAAUGUUUUUUCGCCUAAGGAUGGGUCUGCGGCCGAUUAGGUAGUUGGUUAGGUAAUGGCUUACCAAGCCUUUGAUCGGUACGGGUUGUGAGAGCAAGAGCCCGGAGAUGGAACCUGAGACAAGGUUCCAGGCCCUACGGGGUGCAGCAGGCGCGAAACCUCCGCAAUGUGAGAAAUCGCGACGGGGGGAUCCCAAGUGCCAUUCUUAACGGGAUGGCUUUUCAUUAGUGUAAAGAGCUUUUGGAAUAAGAGCUGGGCAAGACCGGUGCCAGCCGCCGCGGUAACACCGGCAGCUCUAGUGGUAGCAGUUUUUAUUGGGCCUAAAGCGUCCGUAGCCGGUUUAAUAAGUCUCUGGUGAAAUCCUGCAGCUUAACUGUGGGAAUUGCUGGAGAUACUAUUAGACUUGAGAUCGGGAGAGGUUAGAGGUACUCCCAGGGUAGAGGUGAAAUUCUGUAAUCCUGGGAGGACCGCCUGUUGCGAAGGCGUCUGACUGGAACGAUUCUGACGGUGAGGGACGAAAGCUAGGGGCGCGAACCGGAUUAGAUACCCGGGUAGUCCUAGCUGUAAACGAUGCGGACUUGGUGUUGGGGUGGCUUUGAGCUGUCCCAGUGCCGAAGGGAAGCUGUUAAGUCCGCCGCCUGGGAAGUACGGUCGCAAGACUGAAACUUAA